rnacentral:lncRNA from 1 species
CGGGAACGCACCCGGCCCCGCCAGAGGACCCAGGCGUCCGGGUUCGAUUUGCGUCGUUUCCGUCAACAACGGGGCGGGGGAGCUUUUGUUGUUUUGGGGCUUUCUGUCGUUUUUUUUGGUUUUUAAAGCUAUUUAAUAAACUUCAUUAGCCUCAGCUCAGCACCGUGUCAUGGCUACCGGGGGGCCCAGGCGUCCGGGCAGGGAGGAGGCGGCCGGCAGCGCUGCGCGUCCCUUUAAUUCAUCCCAGGGCGCCAGCGCGAUAACGGUACGUUAAUAAUUCCAUUAACGAUGCUAACGAGGUGGCUGCGGCUGUGGGGGGGGUAAUUAGGGGGCGCUAACGAAGCGCCCGGGGGCAGCAACACCGGCUGGGGCGGCAAAACCCGGAGCUGGAGCUGGGGUAAAACCAGGAUCUGGAUCCAGGUCACAGGGCAAAACCUGGAGCUGGAGCUGGGGUAAAACCGGGAUCUGGAGCCAGGUCACAGGGCAAAACCCGGAGCUGGAGCCAGGGUAAAACCAGGAUCUGGAGACAGGUCACAAGGCAAAACCCGGAGCUGGAGCCAGGGUAAAACCAGGAUCUGGAGACAGGUCACAAGGCAAAACCCGGAGCUGGAGCUGGGGUAAAACCGGGAUCUGGAUCCUAGCAGACAGUAAAACCCGGAGCCGGCUCAGGGCCCAAACUGGGAUGGGACUGUGGCUGCAGGGAAAACCCGGAGAAGAAGCCCAGGAUCGGGCUGGUCCCAUCUUGUGGCUGGAGGUAAAACCUGGUGGGGAUCCAGGAGCCAGGCCGGAUUAGGGCUUGCUCCCAUGGUGGGAAGGAAAACCCGGCUGGAGCCCGGAUUGGCUCCCAGCUGGAGGCAAAACUCGGCCAGGACUUUGGACAGGGCUGACCCGGGGCCCGGAAUUAGGGCGGGAGAUAAAACCCGGCCAAGAUCAGGGAUGAGACCGUGACCAGCCCCACGGUUAGAGAAAAACCUGACCUGGAUUUGGGUCUGGGUCAGGGUUGGAGCCAAAACCUGGGCAGGAUCGCAGCGUGGAUCCGGGUUGGAACCGAAACCCAUCCUGGACUGUUGCCUGGGUCCCAGUGGAAAGCAAGAUCCGAGCUGGAUUGCGUCCUGGAGCCUGGUUGGAACCAAAACUUGUCCUGGAUUACAGCCCAGAUCGGUGCUGAAAGCAAAAUCCGUGCUGGAUUGUGUCCUGGAGCCGUGCUGGAGCCAAAACUUGUCCUGGAUUACAGCCCAGAUCCGUGCUGAAAGCAAAAUCCGUGCUGGAUUGUGUCCUGAAGCCGUGCUGGAGCCAAA